rnacentral:sRNA from 1 species
GUGCCUUCCUCAGACUGCUGUGAAUCUUCACUUGUAGCACAAAUUGUCACAAAAGUAAAAGAGCUAGACCCACCCAAGACUUAUACCCAGGAUGGUGUGUGUUUGACUGAAUCAGGGAUGACUCAGUUACAGAGCCUCACAGUUACAGUUCCAAGAAGAAAACGGUCAAAACCAAAAUUGAAAUUGAAGAUUAUAAAUCAGAAUAGCGUGGCCGUCCUUCAGACCCCUCCAGACAUCCAAUCAGAGCAUUCAAGGGAUGGUGAAAUGGAUGAUAGUCGAGGUAAUACUAAUUUAUUUUCCAUGAAAUAUGUGUGCAAGAAUUAAAGCAUAUAAAGUAACUUUUGAAAUAUGUGUAUGAUUUACCAAAGGGUAAAUCACACUGACUUAGUUAACCCCUGAUGUGACCCUUGCCAUUUCCAAAUGAGUGAUCUUCUUAGACCUUGCCUUUUCAGGUUCUCUUCCUUUCACACAUUUUAGAACAGACCUACCUUACAGAAAUCUCAAGGAGCACCAUAUCUUUGAAGAUCACAGGUGGGGAACUACAGAGGGCUUGACUUUAGUUUGCUAGAUAACGACACAAACCUUCUCAGAUACUGUGAGCUUGGAUAAUACCAUGUUUCAGUUAAGGUAGUUGAUGCAUACAUUCUAGAAAUGGAAAAGCUGUCAUUUAAUGUUACUUCAGGUAUAACUUCAUAUUCACCAGUGUGCAUCAUAAAGUAUUGGUUUAUAAACAUUUUCUUGAUCAAAGUAAAUAUAA